rnacentral:rRNA from 1 species
UGGCUCAGGAUGAACGCUGGCUACAGGCCUAACACAUGCAAGUCGAGGGGCAGCAUGGACUUAGCUUGCUAAGUCUGAUGGCGACCGGCGCACGGGUGAGUAACGCGUAUCCAACCUGCCCAUAUCCCGGGCAUAACCUUGCGAAAGCAAGCCUAAUUCCCGAUGUGUCCUGUGACGGCAUCAGAUCAGGAUGAAAGAUUUUUCGGAUAUGGAUGGGGAUGCGUCCGAUUAGCUUGACGGCGGGGUGACGGCCCACCGUGGCGACGAUCGGUAGGGGUUCUGAGAGGAAGGUCCCCCACAUUGGAACUGAGACACGGUCCAAACUCCUACGGGAGGCAGCAGUGAGGAAUAUUGGUCAAUGGACGUAAGUCUGAACCAGCCAAGUAGCGUGCAGGAUGACGGCCCUAUGGGUUGUAAACUGCUUUUAUGCGGGGAUAAAGUGUGGGACGUGUCCCAUAUUGCAGGUACCGCAUGAAUAAGGACCGGCUAAUUCCGUGCCAGCAGCCGCGGUAAUACGGAAGGUCCUGGUGUUAUCCGGAUUUAUUGGGUUUAAAGGGAGCGUAGGCUGUUGCUUAAGCGUGUUGUGAAAUGCCGCGGCUCAACCGUGGCACUGCAGCGCGAACUGGGCGGCUUGAGUUACCGGUAGGCAGGCGGAAUUCGUGGUGUAGCGGUGAAAUGCUUAGAUAUCACGAAGAACCCCGAUUGCGAAGGCAGCUUGCCGUAGGUUGACUGACGCUGAUGCUCGAAGGCGCGGGUAUCGAACAGGAUUAGAUACCCUGGUAGUCCGCGCGGUAAACGAUGGAUGCCCGCUGUUCCGGCUGUUAGCUGGAGUGGCCAAGCGAAAGCGUUAAGCAUCCCACCUGGGGAGUACGCCGGCAACGGUGAAACUCAAAGGAAUUGACGGGGGCCCGCACAAGCGGAGGAACAUGUGGUUUAAUUCGAUGAUACGCGAGGAACCUUACCCGGGCUUGAACUGCCAGAGAACGAAACAGAGAUGUUGAGGUCCUUCGGGACUCUGGUGGAGGUGCUGCAUGGUUGUCGUCAGCUCGUGCCGUGAGGUGUCGGCUUAAGUGCCAUAACGAGCGCAACCCCUCUCCGUAGUUGCCAUCAGGUAGUGCUGGGCACUCUGCGGACACUGCCUCCGCAAGGAGCGAGGAAGGUGGGGAUGACGUCAAAUCAGCACGGCCCUUACGUCCGGGGCUACACACGUGUUACAAUGGGUGAUACAGAGCGCAGGCAUUCCGCAAGGCGUGCCGAAUCGUGAAAGUCAUCCUCAGUUCGGACUGGGGUCUGCAACCCGACCCCACGAAGCUGGAUUCGCUAGUAAUCGCGCAUCAGCCAUGGCGCGGUGAAUACGUUCCCGGGCCUUGUACACACCGCCCGUCAAGCCAUGAAAGCCGGGGGCGCCUGAAGUCCGUGACCGCGAGGGUCGGCCUAGGGCGAUACCGGU